GAGUGAAAUGAUGCUUUUCCAUCUUUCGGGACUUACCCAUUAAUGGGGAUAUCCUUUUCUCACUGAUCACUC